rnacentral:rRNA from 2 species
UACGUAGGGGGCAAGCGUUAUCCGGAAUUACUGGGCGUAAAGGGUGCGUAGGUGGUCUGCCAAGUUAGAGGUCAAAGGCAACGGCUCAACCGUUGUUCGCCCCUAAAACUGGCGGACUUGAGUUCUGGAGGGGAAAGCGGAAUUCCUAGUGUAGCGGUGAAAUGCGUAGAUAUUAGGAGGAACACCAGUGGCGAAGGCGGCUUUCUGGACAGAUACUGACACUGAGGCACGAAAGCGUGGGUAGCAAACAGG